GAGUAUUUACUUGAAACCUUUAAUCAUGCCUCUCUAAGUCUUGUGUUGAUCUCUGUGUUUUGAGUCAGAAAAACUGCAAAUAGGCAUUGCAACCCUAUUUUCCUAUCUGUGUGACGAAAGCUUGAGACAAUCCUUCCUCCAAUCCUGACUAUCUCAUCUUAUUACACCUCAACUAAAUGAAUGAAGCGAUUGUUAGAGAAUAUAGAUAUCCUUGUGUGUCUCAUUAAACCUUUUAGAACAUUGUGAACUGAA